UCCGUUUUGUCAACGGCAGUCCCCCUAGAGUGCCCGGCUAAAACCGCUGGCAACUAAGGAUAAGGGUUGCGCUCGUUGCGGGACUUAACCCAACAUCUCACGACACGAGCUGACGACAGCCAUGCAGCACCUGUCACUGGGCUCCCGAAGGCACUCCCACCUCUCGGCAGGAUCCCCAGGAUGUCAAGGCCAGGUAAGGUUCUUCGCGUUGCAUCGAAUUAAACCACAUGCUCCACCGCUUGUGCGGGCCCCCGUCAAUUCAUUUGAGUUUCAACCUUGCGGCCGUACUCCCCAGGCGGAGAACUUAGCGCGUUAGCUCCAACACUGAAGGGCUUAAUCCCUCCAACGUCUAGUUCUCAUCGUUUAGGGCGUGGACUAC
rnacentral:misc_RNA from 1 species